UUGUACAAGUUGUUCCCUGCACUGCACUGCCAUGCAUAAAACCUUAUUCUCUGCAGGCUUCGUUUUGUUGAAGAAGGUGGUCGUACGUAUAGGCCUAGUGAGUACGUAGCUUAGCUACCAAUGAGACCUGGUGGAGGUCCCGGAGGACCUCCUGGACCGCCUCCCGGACCGCCUGGUUUCGGAGGACCUCCCGGACCGCCUGGUUUCGGAGGACCUCCCGGACCGCCUGGUCCGCAUCCUCUCUUCGGUGGCUUUUGUGAUUUCAUUGGUGCAUGGUACGUAUAUAUGUAUGUAAAUCUACAUCUUAACUCGUCUCAUUCCCUCUCUCUAAAUGACCAUUUUGUUUAUGGGAGUUUUGCA
rnacentral:lncRNA from 1 species